UAAGGAAUAUUGGUCAAUGGGAGAAAUCCUGAACCAGCAACGCCGCGUGAAGGACGAAGGGCUUUUAGCUUGUAAACAUCUUUUUUGAGGGAAAAAUAUACGAUUACUUCGUGUUGAUUGUACCUUGAGAAUAAGCCCCGGCUAACUACGUGCCAGCAGCCGCGGUAAUACGUAGGGGGCACGCGUUGUCCGGAUUUACUGGGUGUAAAGGGUGCUCAGGUGGAUUUGUUAGUCGGAGGUGAAACUCCGGAGCUUAACUCCGGAACUGCCUCCGAAACAGCAAGUCUUGAGUUUGGUAGAGGAUGAUGGAAUAUCUGGUGUAGCAGUGAAAUGCGUAGAUAUCAGAUAGAACACCAAUGGCGAAGGCGGCCCACUGGUCCGGUACUGACGCUGAGGUGCGAAAGUGUGGGGAGCAAACAGGAUUAGAUACC
rnacentral:rRNA from 1 species